rnacentral:rRNA from 1 species
UACAGAGGUCUCAAGCGUUGUUCGGAUUCAUUGGGCGUAAAGGGUGCGUAGGCGGCGCGGUAAGUCGGGUGUGAAAUCUCGGAGCUUAACUCCGAAACUGCAUUCGAUACUGCCGUGCUUGAGGACUGGAGAGGAGACUGGAAUUUACGGUGUAGCGGUGAAAUGCGUAGAUAUCGUAAGGAAGACCAGUGGCGAAGGCGGGUCUCUGGACAGUUCCUGACGCUGAGGCGCGAAGGCCAGGGGAGCGAACGGG